rnacentral:rRNA from 1 species
UACGGAGGGUGCAAGCGUUAUCCGGAUUCACUGGGUUUAAAGGGUGCGUAGGUGGUCUGGUAAGUCAGUGGUGAAAUCUCCAGGCUUAACUUGGAAACUGCCAUUGAUACUAUUAGUCUUGAAUACCGUGGAGGUCAGCGGAAUAUGUCAUGUAGCGGUGAAAUGCUUAGAUAUGACAUAGAACACCAAUUGCGAAGGCAGCUGGCUACACGAAUAUUGACACUGAUGCACGAAAGCGUGGGGAUCAAACAGG